AGCUCUGCAUAUCCACUGAGCGACAGCAGCAGCUGCAUCUCCUCAGAGGGUGCUUCAUGGCAGGAAUCCCCAGUAUUAUAACUGAUCCUUCACGGUGUACUGCAUCAGCUUAGACUUCAUCAGCUGCUUCCACUUAUCCUCACCCUCACUGAUCUCCAGAGCGUAGGCGACGAUGUGGCUUCCUCCAUCACUGAUGGGUUUCUUC